GAAAGAGGAAGAAGAAGGAGAAGAAAAAAA
rnacentral:sRNA from 1 species